UUUGGGGGCGGGGUCGCAGCAAGGCCCUUCCUCCCCUUUCUCCGGACUAAAAGUCUGACUCCGGCGCCGCUUGAGGCCUGUUUGCAGAAUCCGCACAAGCCAGCACCAUGCCCAUGACACUGGGGUACUGGGACCUCCGCGGGCUGGCCCACGCCAUCCGCCUGCUCCUGGAAUACACAGACUCAAGCUACGAGGAAAAGAAGUACACGAUGGGGGACGGNGGGCUUGUCUGGGGUGCGAUGCUGAGAGUGAGUCUGUGUUUUGUGGGUGGCAGGUGGGGAGACAGAAGAGGAGAAGAUUUGGGAAGACAUUUUGGAGAACCAGCUUAUGGACAACCGCAUGCAGCUGGCCAGACUCUGCUAUGAUCCAGAUUUUGAGAGACUAAAGCCAGAAUACCUGGAGGGACUUCCUGAAAUGCUGAAGCUCUACUCACAGUUUCUGGGGAAGCGGCCAUGGUUUCUUGGGGACAAGAUCACCUUUGUGGAUUUCAUCGCUUAUGAUGGCCUUGAGAGAAACCAAAUAUUUGAGCCCACCUGCUUGGACGCCUUUCCAAAUCUGAAGGACUUCAUCUCCCGAUUUGAGGUGAUGCCCCAUCUUCCUUUCUCUCUAAUGCCCCUUAUUUCUUUCCCUCCUUUGUGAUGCUUUCCCAGUCCU